rnacentral:rRNA from 1 species
UACAUGUGGGGCAAGCGUUGUUCGGAAUUACUGGGCGUAAAGGGCGCGUAGGCGGCUUGUUAAGUCAGGGGUGAAAGCUUUCGGCCCAACCGGAAAAUGGCCUUUGAUACUGGCGAGCUCGAGUGCGUGAGGGGUAACCGGAACGACGAGUGUAGCGGUGAAAUGCGUAGAUAUUGCUCGGAAGACCAGCGGCGAAGGCGGGUUACUGGUGCGCAACUGACGCUGAGGCACGAAAGCGUGGGGAGCAAACAGG